UUUAUUAAGAAAGUGAAGGAAUAAAGAAUGGCUACUCCAUAGGCAGAGCAGCAACUUAUGCCGCUCAGCUGAUUAUACUUAUUGUUACUUCUUGAUUAUAUGCUAAACAAGGGGUGGAUUACUCAUGAGCUUUCUGAUAAAGACGAGGGCAAUUCCCAGAACUGGAAAACUUACAGAAAUUCUUGAAUCAUAGAAACUUGUAACUGAAUGACAAUUUAGCAGUCAUUAAGCCCACCCUCCUCAUAUUACAGAUAAGGAAACUGAGGCACAGAGAAGCAAAGUGAGUUAUAGUUCCUAAGACUAAAGCCUGAAGAGAAAAGAAGUUGGGCACAUUGAUGUGGGGAAAAAUGUAGGUUCUCAGCACAUGCCGUGAGAUCUAUGAAAACUGACUCAUUCAUUUUAGAUGAGCCUGAAAAACUGGGAGCAAUCAGGUGGCUGUAAGUAUAACCAGUCCUCCCCUCACCCUCCUUUUUCUUUUCAUAAUGAGCUUGCAUUUU
rnacentral:lncRNA from 10 species